rnacentral:rRNA from 1 species
GACAGAGGAGCCAAGCGUUGUCCGGAUUGACUGGGCGUAAAGCGCACGCAGGCGGUCGUGCACGUGGGGUGUGAAAACUGGCGGCUUAACUGCCAGAGGCCACCUCAUACGGCACGACUCGAGCCCGUGAGAGGUCCAUGGAAUUGCCGGUGUAGUGGUGAAAUGCGUAGAGAUCGGCAGGAACACCCAGGGAGAAAUCAGUGGACUGGCACGGUGCUGACGCUCAGGUGCGAAAGCGUGGGGAGCGAACCGG